rnacentral:rRNA from 1 species
UCGAUAGCGGAACAAGUACCGAGAGGGAAAGUUGAAAAGUACUUUGAAAAGAGAGUGCAAGAGAACGUGAAACCGGUGUAAUGGAAGCGAAUGGAGCCGACGUAUCUAGUGCGUAUUCAGCCUUCUGGGCGCGUGAUUGGUGUUUGUGCAUUGCCGCAAGGUGUGCCUGGCGCUAUUGUCGCGUGUUCGGUUGGUGCAUUUGCGUACGGAGUGCGCCGGGUUGUGUGGUGUUGUCGGACGAUGCGCGUUUAGAGGACCCGGGCUUCGGCGCUGGGAACCCUGGGCGUGUGGAGUUCGGUUGGCGCUGCGCAGCUUUGUGGAGACGUGGGUUUUUCGCGUGCCGCGGUGUCGACAGGCUCGGUUCGGGUGGUACACAUGUGUGCAGCCCUUAUGGGGUCGGUCGGUGUUGUGGUGUGCUCUGCGUUCUUCCCGGUGUUCAGUCGGUGACCCAUUCGACCCGUCUUGAAACACGGACCAAGGAGUUUAUGGUAUGCGCAAGUCAUUGGGUUUGUCGAAGCCUAAAGGCGUAAUGAAAGUGAGACAUUACUUGUCUGAACGUGACUGGGUGCGGCAUUCGUGCGGCCCAAGCAACGUUGCCCCGUUUCGAGGACUUGUCCUGAUGCGGAGGUUGAGCGUAU